AUACAAAUUGUAUGACUCUUCUUUUCGCACACUGGAGGACAGUGGGUGGCUUUCUGAUGAGGUCAUUGAUGCAUACCUGCACUGCCUCAUUAGGAAACAAAAGGCAAGUAAGAACGUAUGCCGGUUAUUUCAGAAAAGUAUUUUAUACAAUUUUGUAAUCUUUUAAAUAAAAAAAAAUCUUGCAUUUUUCAGAAACCCGUGUAUCAGUUAUCUUGCGUUGUUGCAACCUCUCUGUUUUCUGGGAAGUUUAAAUGUGUCAGCAAGAUGUUGUUUCCGGCUGAGGACAUUUGGUUGUGCCCACUGAACUCUGGUGCACAC